rnacentral:rRNA from 1 species
AGAGUUUGAUCAUGGCUCAGAACAAACGCUGGCGGCGUGUCUUAAGCAUGCAAGUCGAGCGGCAAGGCGGGGCGACCCGCCCUAGAGCGGCGGACUGGUGAGUAACGCGUGGGUAAUCUACCUUGGGCAUGGGGAUAGCCAUUAGAAAUAGUGGGUAAUACCGAAUACGCUCGCGGGGGGAAGGGUCCUGUGAGGAAAGGGUGCUACGGCACCGGCCUGAGAUGAGCUCGCGUCCCAUUAGCUAGUUGGUGAGGUAAGGGCCCACCAAGGCGAUGAUGGGUAGCCGGCCUGAGAGGGUGUACGGCCACACUGGGACUGAGAUACGGCCCAGACUCCUACGGGAGGCAGCAGCUAAGAAUAUUCCGCAAUGGACGAAAGUCUGACGGAGCGACGCCGCGUGGAUGAAGAAGGCCGAAAGGUUGUAAAGUUCUUUUGCGAGGGAAGAAUAACCGCAGGAGGGAAUGCCUGUGGGAUGACAUGAACUUGCGAAUAAGCCCCGGCCAACUACGUGCCAGCAGCCGCGGUAACACGUAGGGGGCGAGCGUUGUUCGGAAUUACUGGGCGUAAAGGGCAUGUAGGCGGUCUGGUAAGCCUGGCGUGAAAGACCACAGCUUAACUGUGGGGUUGCGUUGGGAACUGCUGGGCUUGAGUAACGGAGAGGGAGCUGGAAUUCCUGGUGUAGGGGUGAAAUCUGUAGAUAUCAGGAAGAACACCGAUGGCGAAGGCAAGCUCCUGGCCGAUGACUGACGCUGAGGUGCGAAAGUGUGGGGAUCAAACAGGAUUAGAUACCCUGGUAGUCCACACGGUAAACGAUGUGCACUAGGUGCUGGGGCGGUAGCCUCGGUGCCGGAGCGAACGUGGUAAGUGCACCGCCUGGGGAGUAUGCUCGCAAGGGUGAAACUCAAAUGAAUUGACGG